GCCGCGGCCGCCGCGCGCCCGCGCUGACAGCAGCCGCGAGCAGUGACGCCACGCGCCGGCAGCGCGCAUGCGCCGCGCAUCCCCGGAGCGCCGGGGAUGUUUUCCGCACACGUGCUGCCGCGGUGAAAAAGAAUGCUGUUUUACAGUAACGGGACGGACAACUAAAAUUAAAGAACAGAGGUACAGCGGGUGUAUGUGCUACAAUUCCACCCGUACGCUAAACUAAACACAGCAGAUUGCGUUGUGCGUACCCAAAUUCAAAGGUAUUCUAUACCAGUGCUCCAGACAGAACCAGACAUUUAACAAAGGCGUCAAGAGAAGUCUUAGCCCCUUAAUAUACAAACUGCGAUAAAAACCCAUACCUACAACACCAACAAAAGAGAGGCAUGCUUAUUCCGUGUGAAAUGCAAGUUUCUUACGUAAUUACGCCAAAGCUUUUGGGGAAAAUACUUCUGAUAUGUGCAAUUUUUAAUAGAUAGCAUCCCUGAAUUUACAGUCAUGCAACACAUGUUAUGGAUGCUUGGGAAGAAUAAGAAUAAAUAAAUAGAGUAGCAUUAAAGAAAGAAGGAACAGUGGGUAUGUGUGUAUGCAUAGAGACAGGUACUGUGUAUUCACACAGCUCCAGCUCCACCUAUAUACUACCACAUGUGAUUUUUAAGGGCUCCCAGCAGUCGAACCUCCUGUGUGCUGGAUGCGGUCUGCCCUUCCGUGGGCAUCGCAACGCCUCGUGCUGCUCAGACAGAUGUGGGGGCAGAACAUCUGGAUGGGUGUAACUCACCUCAGAGACAUCAGUUUGCAUUUCCUGGGGCUGAGCAGCACCUGAAGUCUGAUCUGACAGCAGAACAAGAGAAAUAAAUACUGGUAGAGGUUUGGCCUAGGACAAACAAAGAAGCUAACAGAGUCCUAAUCUUCCCUCUGCCCCGCGGCUUGGAACAUAAUUCAUCCCUGCCAUCCUGGGACGGAGAAUUUUAAUGGUGCACACAAGCAGACUGCAAGAACCAGGGACAAACUGCCAUUCUCAUGCUAAGAAUGUCUCUCCUCUGUCAGAGAAGGGGAAGAUGUUCCAUUACAGAGGCAACUCACGCAGCGACGUUUUGUCAGGGCGUUUUGAAAAGUACGGCUUGAAUAUUCGGGAUGUUUCAGUGAGACCAGGUAACCCAGUUAAAGUUAUUAGUCAGAAAUAGGAACAGGACAUUCAUCUGCAAGGAAGAUUCCCCAGAACCCAAAUAAGGUUUCUCCUCACUUCAAAUACAAAAAGCCCUGUGUGUUGUCUACUUACACGCCUCAACUGAAGGAGAAUGUCCACUAACAGUGCCGAAUUACAGCAGGAAACAAAUUACCUGCAAGGAAUUCAGCAUUGCUGCGAAGAUGAAGGUCAAGAAGCAUUUAUCGAUUACUUAUAUGCCAAAAGGGCGCUCUCCUAAUUGAAGCGCUAUUCAUCUUUAAGACUUUAACAUGGUGUAAAAGCUCACCAGCACUUAAUGCCGAGGUAACAGCACAUUUCGUGGAUGGUACCUAAUAAAAAUGCUGCAGUUGU